AUAAUAAUAAUGAUAAUAAUAAUAAUAACAAUAAUAAUACUGAAGUUGAGGAGGUGGUAGCUAUUACUGUCUGCAUAUCUGCUGAAGCGCAUCUAGAUGUUAGUAUAAGACUUUGAAAGUGAAAUAUCUGUUCUUUCCUAUUCGCCAUGUUUUAAAGUUUAGAAUAAUAAUAAUAAAUAAACUAAUCCAACCAAGAUCUGGAAUUGUAAUAUAGAAUUCACUCCAAAGACUAACCGCUAGGACCUGUGAGGUCAACCAGAGGUGAAAAUAAUGUUAGGAGAGGAAAAUAAGAUGGAAGAAAGACAAUAUAACAGUGGUAUAGUAAAAGGAAUAGAAGGGGUUGCAGCUAUGGCCGAAGGGACGCUGCAACGAACCUUUAGCAGUCCCUACAGUGCACCGCGUGAGGUGCAUCGACGGCACUGUUCCCCUACUGGGUAACCGAGAAUUGACGAACUGGAACCGAACUGUAAUUGAUUUAAUGGUGCAGCGAGGAACUCAUCUUUGGCAGAUAUUUUCCGGACCUGAAAAACGUAACAACUUCUAGAAUAACAUUUUCAUAAAACUCUUCCGUCCUUCGGUUUGUCGCAGACAGACGCGUUUUCGUUCGAAGGUUAAGCCAUUUUCCUCCUGAGAGAUGAAGGCAGUGACCUUCAUAGUCGGGACGUCGGAUAACCUUUAAUUUAUCAGUCAAUCAAUCACCCUUGUGCCUGGCCCGAACUGUCAUAGACAUUACAAAUUGCUAAAGAUGAAUUCCAGAUGUGCAACAAUGAACAGAGAUGAUAAUGUAUAAUCACUAUUGUAAUGACUAUUUCAUUUUAUUCCAAAGUUACCUUAGCCCUUAAUUUUACACUGUACGAAUGAGAAAAAUUUUAUCGCCACGAUUUCUUCACUUGCCUUAUCAGCAGUGUUUACGGCUAAGCGCAGGACGUUACGGCAAGACUGCCACACUUUCAGUUGACAGUUGAAGAGCGAGUCUUCAGAACAGGCUCCGAUCAUCAUCCUUCGCAUCCGAGGUCUGUGACGAUGAAGUGGUUGUUUUUCCUCUUCGUGGUGACAAGAGUGAUGCUGGAAGUGGUAGAGGGAGAGAUUUCACGGCAUCCCUCUCCUCACUAUCCAGGGCCCCUAUCGAGACCUUAUGGCAGACUUCCCGGCGUCUACAGGCCUCCUUUCGCUAGACCCGUGGGACGCCCUUCUCUCCCGGUGGGAGGAUCUUCAAGCCUACUUCCCCCUGGCCGUCCUGUUGGUCCCCCAAGUAGACUUCCUCAUGAGGACCCCUCGUAUCCUUCUCACGAUCAUCAGUCAUACCCCUCCAUCUGGCCGAGGGAUCCUUAUCCGCCUGGACUACCAGGACCUCGUCCCGACAAGUAUAAAACAUUCUGAAGUAACAGGUGCAGAUUCUCAUCCCUCUUGGACAGCCAGUGAAUGAGUAUUCAACUGGAUUUCACGGAUUGCUUCUCUUGUGUUGAAAUAAGUGUACAUGUGACUUUCUUCAGAGCAGAAAUGACAUCUAGAACUCGCAUCAUGGUUGUUCUUCGUUUCCAUAGGAGAAUCCACAAUGAACACACAGAAGAACAAGAAAAAUAGGGUUCGCUGAGUUACUGUCAUACUAAUUAUGUAAUGCAAUAAAAUAUGUUUAUCAAAAUGCAUA